rnacentral:lncRNA from 1 species
UAAUUUAGCCUAGUGACUAGUCUAAUGGGCCUAGAUCCUGUUACUAACUGUUGUCUCAGAACCUAGAACAGAGCUAGUAGUGGGUAUGGGUUAACUAUCAAGAUCAUAAAGAUUCGUGUGUCUAUGGCUAACAACCAGCCCAGACAAACUGAAUACUACUGAUUGCCUUGCAGAUAAUUUAGAGCAUCUUGCACCCAUGGCAUAGUGAAGGCAAGGGGAUCCCAGGUACUAUGUGAAGUUCUAAAGUAAGUCAGG